rnacentral:lncRNA from 1 species
UUGCCUCCAGAUUUGAUCAAAUGUCAACAUAAGACAUGACUCAAAACACAUUCCAAAUGUCUUUGAUCCUAACUCUCCUGCUCUUUCAAUCCAUGCUUUGUAUAUUCUUCAACAUUUGAAAAGAAAAUAGAAACAAAUAAUUAGCUAGUAGUCAGCAAGUAUCUCUACACCUCUAGUUAAAUCCAACACGUAACUUACAAUGCAACAUAUAGCAUGUCCAAACAUGUACAAUAUUUAGGGAAGAAUUUUGCAAGCAAUUUGUAAAAAAUCAAAAUAAAUUAGCCAUCCAAAUAAUCUUCCUUCUUAAAGUUAAUUUACUAUUUUGCGCCCUCUCUUCUUCUUGAUGAGUACAACCACAAUUUGACUUGUGACAGGGCCCAGAUGAGAACACCUCCUAACAUAAUAUGCCAAAGAUUGGUAUAUGUCAGUAAUAAGCCCUAAAAAUCAUAAUAAAUUAGUCAUCCAAAUAAUUUUCCUUCUUAAAGUUAAUUUACUAUUUUGCCCUCUCUUCGGCUUGAUGAGUACAACCACAAUUUGACUUGUGAU